rnacentral:misc_RNA from 1 species
AACCUAGCACACCUGCGGUGUGUACCUGCGGAGGGAUCAUUAUCGAGUUACCACUCUAUAACCCUUUGUGAACAUACCUACAUGUUGCUUCGGCGGUCGGCCCCCCGGGCCCCCGGCCCCGCUCACGCGGGGCGUCCGCCGGAGGAUAACCAAACUCUGAUUUAACGACGUUUCUUCUGAGUGGCACAAGCAAAUAAUCAAAACUUUCAACAAUGGAUCU